CAUACUGCUGGAGGACUGAGGAGUAUAAGUGUUAUCAGACAUCAGGAGGAAGGUCCUGUGGUGUCUACUGAAUGUCACAUUCAGAUGAACUUCAUCUCCAGCAAAUCCACUGCCCACUUAGGCAGAGGAUAUUUUUAUGCAAGGCAUUCUCCAGAAGCUGCAGAGGUUGAAAGCCACCCUCUUGGCUACUCUCCAAGGCAUCAGAAGCAAGUUGAGUCCUAAAUCUUCACUCAGGUCAAUGACACGCAAGACAAAUAUGCACUAGGAUUAUCUGAGUGCCUCAUCCCAUAUCUGACAUAUUAGAAGUCUUGCAAUUCAGCUGACACCGUGAGAACCUGGGGGCAGAGUAAUCACUGGUUGACUGAAUUGCAGCACAGUGUGCUACAGAUAUCUCAGCUGUUGCUUCACAGUGGUGCUUGUUGACACCAUAGCUGGGCUUGCACGUCCAUAAGCAACUUGCCCUCUUGAGCCAGUUCCAGCACUAACAUGCUGAUUAUAGCUGGCAUGAGCACGCCCCACGUCUCUGCUGUGGUUCCCAGCUUUAUCUGGAUUUCUGCCCACUGAAGCGCCGGUUGUGAGGUUUAAUUUAGGCACAGUAUGAGUCUGGUACAAUAGGAACCAGGUUUCCAGUGAGCUUUUACUCCAGUCAGUCUUUUCCAAGUCUAGUCACAUGAAAGAUGAUUAAAUCUUUAUUAAACAUUCUUGGUUACA